GGGCAGUGUAUUGUUAGUUAGCU
rnacentral:miRNA from 2 species